AACGAACGCUGGCGGCAGGCCUAACACAUGCAAGUCGAGCGAGGACUUCGGUCCUAGCGGCGGACGGGUGAGUAACGCGUGGGAACGUGCCCUUUGCUUCGGAAUAGCCCUGGGAAACUGGGAGUAAUACCGGAUGAGCCCUUUGGGGGAAAGAUUUAUCGGCGAAGGAUCGGCCCGCGUUGGAUUAGGUAGUUGGUGGGGUAAUGGCCUACCAAGCCGACGAUCCAUAGCUGGUUUGAGAGGAUGAUCAGCCACACUGGGACUGAGACACGGCCCAGACUCCUACGGGAGGGAGCAGUGGGGAAUCGUAGACAAUGGGGGAAGCCAUGAACGAGCCAUGCCGCGUGAGAGAUGAAGGCCGUAGGGUAGUAAAGUGCUUUCAGCUGGGAAGAUAAUGACGGUACCAGAAGAAGAAGCCCCGGCUAACUCCGUG
rnacentral:rRNA from 1 species